UAGCAUAAUCGCGAUAAUGGACGGCAUCUAACUGGCAGUUGACUGUUGAUCCGUCGUAUCGAAUCGAAUCACAGCCAAACUGUUGGUUAGGUUCAGUUCGUUUGUUCAUCCAAUAUCGC
rnacentral:pre_miRNA from 9 species